rnacentral:lncRNA from 1 species
AUGGUUUGGCCUUAGAAACGAGCUUACCGGAUGUCGCUCUAUGGUGUGAUGUGCAAUUGACAAAAGAUGCAUCUGGGAUUUUCCUUCCAAAUGUCAACCUUUUAAAUUCUAAUUACAUUUCAUUUGCUAUCCCGAAUAAAACUACGAAUUACUCGGUUAAUGGUGUAUCCACCCGUGGCUAUUUUUCCGUGGAUUACACCUUGAAGGACUUAUCCAAUGUCUUAUGUAAGUUUCAGUCAUGAUAAAGAUGUAUUUUUAUUGAUGUAGAUUAUUGUUAUUUUGUGGAAUGAUUGAUUCUUUUGUAUGACAUAUAUGUGUUUUAUGAUUUAAGGUAUUUUCUAUGUUUGGCAUACUAGUGAGUUUUGAAGUUAUUUAUUUCUAUGGUUUUUGACAUUUUUUCACUGUUGGACAGUAUCUCAGGGAGUAUUUUCUCGGUCAACUCUACUUGAUGCCAAUGGUUAUCUAAUUCUUACUGUCAAUGAUGUAGUCAAAUCAGUGGCGCCACAAACACCAAGUCUGUGGUUGAAUAUUCAGGUUAAUGGAAUGUAUAAUUCAAUUCAUUCUCAUGAAAGUAAGAGAAGAUCAAAAAUAGCUAUGUUGUUUUUCUUCUUGAAUUCAAUACCUUAUAUAUACAGUGGUUUGGUUGCUUUAUCACUUCACCAUUAAACGCCAAACUUGUCGGGCCAAACUUGUCGGGAUGUGUAAACCACGCGCUCUCGCUGCUAUACUCCCUCUGCUUCUUCCUUUUCUUCUAAAUUCUCUCUUUCUAGCUCUUGUUUCUGCUCAAACUAACAAGAGAUAUGAUUGGAAUACACUUGCCGGUAGGUGUUAUUUUUUUUCUUCUUCUUUUUUGUUAUUUUUUCUUCACUUGCUUAUUGCAUAUUUAAGUAGAAGAAGAAUGUUUAUGAUUAUCAUUAUGAUUAGCUAUGAAGUGGAGGGUCUUAGCUUAGUUUAUAAUUAAACUUUGAUUUGUUAAUUUUAGCUUAGAAGGGAUUUGGCUUCUCAUAAAUGUUUCUUAAUUAAAUGGUUUACCACUAUGUUGAGAUGUUUAUGAAUAGAUUUAGAUAUACGACUCUUCAAUGCAAUAUAAGCAAAAUGAAUAUAUGAAAAACUGAUGUUUUUGGACCUGAAUGUAAUUCUUGAUAUAAUCUCAUAACUUGAUACAAUUUUCCAUUUUUGAAAUGUACUUGAAUUCAAUGAUUCAUGCACCUCUCUUUCCUUUAUUUUUUGUUUAUAUUUCCUUUUUCUUUUUUGGUUCCACUCUGUGCUAGGUGGCCUUCAGACUUACUCUUGUUGAUUGUUUUGCAGGUAAUCCGCCGUUGGUCAUAGCACAUGGUGGUUUUUCAGGGAUAUUUCCUGAUUCGAGUGGUGCUGCUUAUGGUUUGGCCUUAGAAACGAGCUUACCGGAUGUCGCUCUAUGGUGUGAUGUGCAAUUGACAAAAGAUGCAGCUGGGAUUUUCCUUCCAAAUGUCAACCUUUUAAAUUCUAAUUACAUUUCAUUUGCUAUCCCGAAUAAAACUACGAAUUACUCAGUUAAUGGUGUAUCCACCCGUGGCUAUUUUUCCAUGGAUUACACCUUGAAGGACUUAUCCAAUGUCUUCUGUAAGUUUCAGUCAUGAUAAAGAUGUAUUUUUAUUGAUGUAGAUUAUUGUUAUUUUGUGGAAUGAUUGAUUCUUUUGUAUGACAUAUAUGUGUUUUAUGAUUUAAGGUAUUUUCUAUGUUUGGCAUACUAGUGAGUUUUGAAGUUAUUUAUUUCUAUGGUUUUUGACAUUUUUUCAUUGCUGGACAGUAUCUCAGGGAGUAUUUUCUCGGUUACCUCUACUUGAUGCCAAUGGUUAUCUAAUUGUUACUGUCAAUGAUGUAGUCAAUUCAGUGGCGCCACAAACACCAAGUCUGGGGUUGAAUAUUCAGGAAAAUGGAAUGUAUAAUUCAAUUCAUUCUCAUGAUUUAGUCGAUCUCCUUGAUUGUUCUAAAAUUAAUUCUUGAUUUCUCUGAUAUUUUGCAGCAU